AACGAACGCUGGCGGCAUGCCUAACACAUGCAAGUCGAACGAUACCUUCGGGUCUAGUGGCGCACGGGUGCGUAACGCGUGGGAACCUGCCCUUAGGUUCGGAAUAACUCCCCGAAAGGGGUGCUAAUACCGGAUAAUGUCUUCGGACCAAAGAUUUAUCGCCUUUGGAUGGGCCCGCGUUGGAUUAGCUAGUUGGUAGGGUAAAAGCCUACCAAGGCGACGAUCCAUAGCUGGUCUGAGAGGAUGAUCAGCUACACUGGGACUGAGACACGGCCCAGACUCCUACGGGAAGCAGCAGUGGGGAAUAUUGGACAAUGGGCGAAAGCCUGAUCCAGUAAUGCCGCGUGAGUGAUGAAGGCCUUAGGGUUGUAAAGCUCUUUUACCCGGGAUGAUAAUGACAGUACCGGGAGAAUAAGCGCCGGCUAACUCCGUG
rnacentral:rRNA from 1 species